CCGUACAUGCCGCUCGCCAUUCCAUCUUCUUUAAUUUUCCACGGCCGCAACGAUUCAUGGUCAUAAUUGCUUGUGAAACCGCUCUAUGGUGCCCACCAUUCAUCAGCCAUCAUUAAAUACAGAAAAAGCUGCUUCUAGAUCAAACUUAACCGGAGCGCAGCUAGGUUGAACUGAACCGGCGCGCCUUGGUCUUUAAGAAGCUCCCCGUGGUUCCAUGUAGAUCCCGAGCGCCGGCCUGCUCACGUCCGUCUUUGGUAGAGGUCUCCGGUUUGGUUGCUGUCCGGCCAGAUUCUCCUUCUCCCUUUCUUUUUAUCCCCUCACUUAUUUUUUCAAUCUGCUAGGUUCACCUCCCGCUCGAAAACUGCUCAAGGUUUUGCCUGCUCCGAUUUGAUUGGAAUUUUAUUCAUUCAAGAUUGGUUCAUGUUGGUUGGAUUGCAGGUAGUCUAGCUGCUGGCCUUUGAAAUGGUUCCCACUCUUCUCUGCUAUCAAUGGCGCUUACUCUGCCUAGAACGUGCCACCUCAAGGUUAGAUUUUCUAAAUCAUAUUUGAAAGUUAAUGUUCAUUGUCCUUCCUUUGUGAGCAGGGAGGUGGAGCUAUGCAAAUGUCAAUUGCCUAUCUGUUGUAAAGCUCGGAGUAUAGAGAUAUAGAGCGUUCCAGAUGUGCAUUCACUAUUAUUAUCAAUUUGCGGCAAUUCAUCUUCAGGUCUAUAGAAGCUAAAAUAGUAAAGUUACAGUGUUUAUAUUGUGAUGAACACUGAUAUAUUAUGGUAAGCCAAUUGGUCAGUCCUGCAGCUAUUGAUGCCCUGGCUUCCAGCACCCGAUCUAUUUCAGGAAUCAUGUUUCUUGCAUCUUGAAGACUCAAGAAUGUGAGCUAUUGGUUCUUAAACUAAUAAUGGUGAAGUCGGGACAUAGACAAUGCCAGUUUGUUUGGGAGCAUUAUGUCUGUACAGUAGACACAUAAAAGCAGAAAUUCCAAAGAUAUGUACGAUCAUCAUAGCAUCGACUAUUUGCUUAUUUGGAUAGAGCCAAAUAGCAUUUCGUUCCCUUUCCUAUUCCCGUAUGAAGUUUGUAGCCACUUGAAGGACAUCCUUCCCAGCCAAAAAAUAAAUAUUGAAAGGACAUGCUCUGUGAUUUUUUCUAGAAGUUUUUUAUGUUGAAGUUUGUGAUGUA